rnacentral:rRNA from 1 species
UACGGAGGGUGCAAGCGUUGUUCGGAAUUAUUGGGCGUAAAGGGCAGGUAGGUGGUCUUGUAAGUCUACUGUGAAAUCCCCGAGCUUAACUUGGGAAGUGCGGUGGAUACUGCAAGACUAGAGUGCUGGAGGGGUUCGUGGAAUUCCAGGUGUAGCGGUGAAAUGCGUAGAUAUCUGGAGGAACACCGGUGGCGAAGGCGGCGUUCUGGACUGCAACUGACACUGAGAGACGAAAGCCAGGGGAGCAAACGGG